GGAAGGGUGGCUCAGUGGUAGAGCACCACCAACUUGUUAUAGGCUUCGCGUGGUUCGAAUCCCGCCCCUUCCG
rnacentral:tRNA from 1 species